rnacentral:rRNA from 1 species
CAGUCGCCGCGGUAAUACGUAGGGUGCAAGCGUUAAUCGGAAUUACUGGGCGUAAAGCGUGCGCAGGCGGCUUGUUAAGACAGAUGUGAAAUCCCCGGGCUUAACCUGGGAACUGCAUUUGUGACUGGCGAGCUAGAGUAUGGCAGAGGGGGGUAGAAUUCCACGUGUAGCAGUGAAAUGCGUAGAGAUGUGGAGGAAUACCGAUGGCGAAGGCAGCCCCCUGGGCCAAUACUGACACUGAGAGACGAAAGCUAGGGGAGCAAAUGGGAUUAGAUACCCCGGUAGUCCCUGUCUCUUAUAC